UCCGUAGGUGAACCUGCGGAAGGAUCAUUAACGUUGGGGACUAACAAUCCCUCAGCGAGAUAGAACCCUUGCUUUUUCGAGUACCACACGUUUCCUCGGCAGGUACGCCUGCCAAUGGGGACCAUUAAAAACCUUUUGUAAUAGCAGUAAACGUCUAAAACAACAAAAAUUUAAAACUUUCAACAACGGAUCUCUUGGUUCUGGCAUCGAUGAAGAACGCAGCGAAAUGCGAUAAGUAGUGUGAAUUGCAGAAUUCAGUGAAUCAUCGAAUCUUUGAACGCACAUUGCGCCCUUUGGUAUUCCUUAGGGCAUGCCUGUUCGAGCGUCAUCUCACCCCUCAAGCUAUGCUUGGUGUUGGGCGUUGUCUCGCCUCCGGCGCGGACUCGCCUUAAAAUCAUUGGCGGCCUGUGUAUUUGGGCUACGAGCGCAGCAGAUUCGCGCCUCGACCCGCGUCACUGGCAUCCAGUAAGCGAAAACCAUAGUUUUGACCUCGGAUCAGGUAGGGAUACCCGCUGAACUUAAGCAUAUCAAUAAGCGGAGGA
rnacentral:rRNA from 1 species